CAGGCCUAACACAUGCAAGUCGAACGAUGAAACUCUAGCUUGCUAGAGAUGAUUAGUGGCGGACGGGUGAGUAACAUUUAGGAAUCUGCCUAGUAGUGGGGGAUAGCUCGGGGUAAACUCGAAUUAAUACCGCAUACGACCUACGGGUGAAAGGGGGCGCCAGCUCUUUCUAUUAGAUGAGCCUAAAUCAGAUUAGCUACUUGGUGGGGUAAAGGCCCACCAUGGCGACGAUCUGUAACUGGUCUGAGAGGAUGAUCAGUCACACCGGAACUGAGACACGGUCCGGACUCCUACGGGAGGCAGCAGUGGGGAAUAUUGGACAAUGGGGGCAAUCCUGAUCCAACGAUGCCGCGUGUGUGAAGAAGGCCUUUUGGUUGUAAAGCACUUUAGUCAGGGAGGA
rnacentral:rRNA from 1 species